UGGAUGGGGGAGGGAGAGGCCACUGUGCCAGCCGUAGACGGGGUAUCUAACCUGGCCUGGGGUUAGAAAGGCUUUCUAGAGCCUGCAGUGACACCUGAACAUUGAUUUGGAGUUAGAUGAGGAGGGGAGAGGCUGUAAGCAGGUUUGUAAGAAAGGCGAUGAGUCUGAGGGGCCUCUAGGGGGACAGUGGGCAGGGGAGGUUCAGAGCAAGGACCUGGAGCCAGGCGCUGGUUCCCUGUCCCCAUGCCACCACUGUGAGCUCUGGCAAGUUAUGCUACCCCCCUGAGCCUCAUUUCCUCAUCUGUGAGUACAGGCAACAACGGAACCAACCUCAUACAGACUGUUAUGAGCAGAUACCCGUAAGGUGCUUGGAACAGCAGCUGGCACGUGGGCAAUGGGGCUGAGGAAUGUGGCGUUCAGCCGGCCACGUCUCCUUGCAAUCCACCCCAGGCUCUCCAUGGCUGGGCUCCUCUGUGGAUCAGUCCUGCUGGCUGCCAGGGCCUCAGAGCAGCAGGAGUAGUUGGGAAGAGUCCCUGGGUGAAAACGGAAAGAAAAUCCACAGCGUCCAUGUGAAACUGAAGCUUCACAUCCCGAGGAACCUCUUUCCACCAGCCCAACCCCCUGGAAGCAGAGGGAAUGGUGCUGUCUGUGGGAGCACCAGCCUCACCCGCUCAGCAAGCCCUACGGGGCUAUAUGGGCCAGUAAAACAUGGGGUGCUCAGCAAUUAUUCACCCCCUGCUAUCAAUUUGGGGCAAAUGGGGACAUCCCCACAACAUCCCAUCACACAUAUGAUCCCACCCAUGUGACAGCCCUGACAAAUGCUACGAAAGGAAGUGAGAGAAUGUUCUGAUCUCACCUGGGGCUGCCCCAAGGAAGUGACUUUAACAGGGCAGCUCAGGCCAAGAUAGCAGCAUAUGCCAAGGCAUGGCGGGGAGACAGACAGGCCAUGGAUUUGGGGCAGCAGCUGGGCUGGCUGUGGCAGAAGCAGUGCCAAUGUUGAUAAACCAUACGCCCAUUACAGCAGUUCUUACCUGACAUCACGGGCUCUGUUGUCCCUCUUUUCUAGAUAGAGGUUUGCACCUUGCUCUGAUAAGUGAGGUGACCUGUCUGAGAUGACGGUAGGUAUGCAGGGAAGCUGGGAUUUGAAUCUGGGUCCAGAGCUGGAGCUUGACCAGCCCAGGACAGGCCUGUUCUCUGGGCCUAUGUGGCUCUUCUGUGUUCCACGAUCCCAGCAGACCCAAGCUGGUGGCUGUCCUGCCCCUGCCCCUGCCCCUCCCCUCUUCUGUCACCUUUCCCUGGGAGCCUGCAUGGGGUGGCACACAGGCAGGGUGUGGUUAGUCCAGGAGAAAUAGGCCAGCUUGGCAAGAGAAAUAAGGGCGUGGGUGCUAGCUGCCUGGAUUCUGGUCCCCAUACUCCCUCAAGGGCUCUGUGGCUCAGGGUCAAUCUCUUCCCUCUCUGAUGGUCAUU